AGAGUUUGAUCAUGGCUCAGGAUGAACGCUGGCGGCAUGCCUAAGACAUGCAAGUCGAACGAAGGAACCCAAAGAAGAUGGAGUGCUUGCACGAAAUUGGAAAUGGACACUUCCUUAGUGGCAAACGGGUGAGUAACACGUGGGUAACCUACCUUUAAGAUGGGGAUAACAGUUGGAAACGAUUGCUAAUACCGAAUGUGAUCUACGGAUUAAAGGGGGCAUCAAAGCCUCGCUUAAAGAUGGGCCUGCGGCGUAUUAGAUAGUUGGUGAGGUAAUGGCUCACCAAGUCGACGAUACGUAGCCGAGCUGAGAGGUAAAACGGCCACACUGGGACUGAGACACGGCCCAGACUCCUACGGGAGACAGCAGUUAGGAAUAUUCGUCAAUGGGGGGAACCCUGAACGAGCAAUGCCGCGUGAGUGAAGAAGGUCCUCUGGAUUGUAAAACUCUGUUGUAUGGAAAGAAUAGUUAAAUUAGGAAAUGAAUUUAAAAGAGACGGUACCAUACGAGGAAGCCACGGCUAACUACGUGCCAGCAGCCGCGGUAAAACGUAGGUGGCGAGCGUUAUCCGGAUUUAUUGGGCGUAAAGCGUCCGCAGCCGGCAUUUUAAGUCUGUAAUAAAAGCCUGGAGCUCAACUCCAGUUCGUUACAGAAACUGAAAGGCUAGAGUGUGGUAGAGGCAAGUGGAAUUUCUAGUGUAGCGGUAGAAUGCGUAGAUAUUAGAAGGAACACCAGUGGCGAAGGCGACUUGCUGGGCCAAAACUGACGGUCAGGGACGAAAGCGUGGGGAGCAAAUAGGA
rnacentral:rRNA from 1 species